UACGUAGGGAGCAAGCGUUGUUCGGAUUUACUGGGCGUAAAGGGCGCGUAGGCGGCGCGACAAGUCACUUGUGAAAUCUCCGGGCUUAACUCGGAACGGUCAAGUAAAACUGUCAUGCUAGAGUGCAGAAGGGGCAAUCGGAAUUCUUGGUGUAGCGGUGAAAUGCGUAGAUAUCAAGAGGAACACCUGAGGUGAAGACGGGUUGCUGGGCUGACACUGACGCUGAGGCGCGAAAGCCAGGGGAGCAAACGGG
rnacentral:rRNA from 1 species